rnacentral:misc_RNA from 1 species
UUUAGUAACCAUGGUAAUGCUCAUGUUUUUAUUUGAGAAUUUGAAAUAGCUGUACAAUAUUACUAGUAAGAAAAUUUCAAGCAUAAUUUUUUUUUCAGAGGAUCUGCUGCAUAUGUUAUUGAAACACUAUUUGACAUUGAAGUAUGUAAGAAUCAGCUAAUCGAGUGGAUGAUUUCAGCUAAUGCAGAUGUUAUCAGCAUAUUUCUUGUAAAUGUGAAUGGACUAUUAAGAUGAAACAAUGAGGAAACCUUACUUAAUGUUUCAACAGUUAUAAACUUAUUGGUGCCAGAAGAUUAAAUCAGGGUUUUACGAAAAUACGCAAAGUAUGGUUAAAUUACGUGAAGGAUCGCGAAAUAACAAGAAAGAAAUGGGUCCAAAAAAGAAGAAAAAUGCACAUAUAAGUGAGAGUGUCAGACGACCAUUAUAUCUGUUAACAAACCCAAUUUCACAGCUACCAAUUACACAGCUUCCAACCAAUGGUAGUAUUUUAAGAUAUUAUCCAUAUCUAAUUUCAAAUAAGAAGAAAAGAUUUAUCAAAACACAAAUUAACAUGGCCUGUAAGAAGCAAAAAGAAACAAGAAACUUGGUGUGCAUAGGUAGAGAUUUUUGUGACCUUGAGGCGCAAUCAAACUGCUUAAUUAGACAAACAGUCAACAUUUGGACCAAAGCAGGAUUUGAAGCAUACAUCAUUUCAGAAUAUUCAAUUCUUGACAAACUUCAAGCUCUACACAAAAAGUAUCAACUUUUGAAAAAACGUGUUACUCUGAAAGAUACCAAAGAUACUAGAGAAGAUAUUAUGAAUGAAUUCAUUUCAACAAUGGAACAGUUGUUUGACAUAGGCAAAGAUAACUUAGAGCUACUGAUGAGAAGUGACAAAAUAACACCAAGAACACCAGCUGCUAUUGAAGAAGACCUAAAUUCCUAUCUAGACCAGCAAAUAGACAGGAAGUGGUUUAUUUCUAAGCCAGAUGAAGGGCUAGCUACCAUUAUUGAGAAACCCCUAGAAAGGUAUAAGAGACAAGAACAAUUGAGAAUGAAGUACCUAUAGGAGAAACAAGCUGGAGAAAGAUGUAAAUCAGCUCCCCCACCACUUGAUGAAAGUGAUGAAGACUUGACGCCAACUUAAAGAAAAGUUGCAUGGCUCAAGUGUUAUUUUGGAUGGAUAUUUUGCAAGUACUCAUUUGCAAUGUUUUACUCAAGUGAAGGUGCAAAAUGUUCUUUAAAUGAAGUAGUGUUUAAUGACACUCCAGAAUCAGAUACGUGCUCUAACUAGUGAAGGAAAAGGAUUAGCAGCUUAUUUGACAGGAACAACAAAUACUCUUGAUUAUUUUGCACCCUCACCUCCUCAAUUACAUGUUCGUGGUAAAACAGAGAUUUUUAUUGAGUGGGAUCCUCCUAAAAAUCUUCUUGGCAGAUUAAAUUAUUAUGAACUUAGAAUGGAUAACAUGGUAAUAUAUAGAGGAAUUGACCGCUGUUUUACUGCGCAAGCUCUUCAGCCAACUAAAGUUUAUAGCUUUACAGUUUCAGCUUGGAUGAGUGAUGGUAGAUGCGAAAGUUUACCCAGAACACGUCGAAUCAGCAAGCAAUAUGCAAAUAAAGGGGUCGUUGAUUUUCCAGAAGAUAUUGGAAAGAUGUUGUAAGAGUAAAAAAAAAACACAGAUGAUUUUGGACAAAAUUCCACAGAUGAUCUUGGACUAGUCCACAGAUGUUUUUGGACAGAUGUAGUAAUCUUUUACCCAAAUUUCCAGAGUUCUUUCAGGAGAAAUAGAUGACUAGAGAAUAGAGAAUAGAGAGUUUAUGAUCAUGUCUGUCACCAAUAGCUCACCAGUUUAUUUUUUAAUUUUGUGUAAUUUUUAGUUUCUAUGAUCAGGGUUGGGAUCAAAUAUGUAUUUUUAUUUGAAGUUGUUAUUAUAUUUGGUAGUUAUGAGGUAAAUUGGCAUAUUUGUAUUCGUGUUGCAUUUGAUUUGAAAAUUUCUUAAAAUUUUUUAUUUGCAUUUGAUUGAAAUGUAUUUGUCACAGUGUUUUUCCCCAUUAAAUCCCACUGUAAACAAGGUUGACUGGUGUUUAUUUGGGAAAAACUAAGAUAUUUGUUUGUUUUUUCUCUUCUUUUUAACACUAAAAUAAGCUAUAAUUUAGUUUGUAAAGGAUAAUUUUUAAAGUUUUAAAUUUAACUGGUAUUUAUAAAAGACUUGUUUUCAUUCUUCUAUUUAGCAUACCAUUUUAUCAAUAUUGUAUUAAAACAAAUCUAUGUAUUUUUUUAAACCUAACUUACAAAUAUUUGUAUUUGUAUUUGGAAAAUGCCAAUUACAUAUAUUUGUACUUGAAUUAGUAUUUGGAAAUCUGAAAUUAAAGUAUUUGUAUUUGUGUUUGACCCUGUCAAUUAUUAUUAAUUUGGUGUUUAAUUGCUGAUAUAUUCAUUCUGAUAUAAUGAAUGGUUGAUAAAAAGUUUUAUUAUUUUAAAUUUUGAAAUUGCAAAGUCAUUGUCAAAUAAUUGUAAAAGUCGAUAUGGCAGCUUUUUUGUAACUCUAUUUAACUUCUACCUCUAAAAAGUUAUUUUUCGUUGUUGUUGUUGUUGUUAUGCGUGUUAUGUUGUGCCUCUUGUAUUAUUAAAAAAUAAUGCAUUGCAAUCCUAACUUUAUUGGUUUCUCUAUCUAGUUCAAAUUUCUCUAUCUAGUUUAAAUUCUUGAUUUACUAUUAAGCCAGUUUUGAUUUUUUAUCUACUUUUUAUUUGGUUUAAAUUUUUUAUCUACUUCUAACCCAGUUUGUUCUACUGGAGAUUCCUGGUAUCUAAGUGGUUUGGUGUGUUAUU